UGCCAUUUUGAAACUUGGCCACAUCCUAACAGUCUUGGACAGCCUAAUUUCCUUGCCUCCUUCAUUCACAUCCAUAGACGAGAAAGGAUUCAGUGAGGUCCACCGUAGACGAGAAAGGAUUCAGUAAGGUCCACCAUAGACGAGAAAGGAUUCAGUGAGGUCCACCAUAGACGAGAAAGGAUUCAGUAAGGUCCACCAUAGACGAGAAAGGAUUCAGUGAGGUCCACCAUAGACGAGAAAGGAUUCAGUAAGGUCCACCGUAGACGAGAAAGGAUUCAGUGAGGUCCACCAUAGACGAGAAAGGAUUCAGUAAGGUCCACCAUAGACGAGAAAGGAUUCAGUGAGGUCCACCAUAGACGAGAAAGGAUUCAGUAAGGUCCACCAUAGACGAGAAAGGAUUCAGUGAGGUCCACCAUAGACGAGAAAGGAUUCAGUAAGGUCCACCAUAGACGAGAAAGGAUUCAGUGAGGUCCACCAUAGACGAGAAAGGAUUCAGUAAGGUCCACCAUAGACGAGAAAGGAUUCAGUGAGGUCCACCAUAGACGAGAAAGGAUUCAGUAAGGUCCACCAUAGACGAGAAAGGAUUCAGUGAGGUCCACCAUAGACGAGAAAGGAUUCAGUGAGGUCCACCAUAGACGAGAAAGGAUUCAGUAAGGUCCACCGUAGACGAUAAAGGAUUCAGUAAGGUCCACCAUAGACGAUAAAGGAUUCAGUGCGGUCCACCAUAGACGAUAAAGGAUUCAGUAAGAUCCACCAUAGACGAGAAAGGAUUCAGUGAGGUCCACCAUAGACGAGAAAGGAUUCAGUGCGGUCCACCAUAGACGAGAAAGGAUUCAGUGCGGUCCACCAUAGACGAUAAAGGAUUCAGUAAGGUCCACCAUAGACGAUAAAGGAUUCAGUAAGGUCCACCAUAGACGAUAAAGGAUUCAGUAAGGUCCACCAUAGACGAUAAAGGAUUCAGUAAGGUCCACCGUAGACGAUAAAGGAUUCAGUGAGGUCCACCAUAGACGAUAAAGGAUUCAGUGAGAUCCACCGUAGACGAGAAAGGAUUCAGUGCGGUCCACCAUAGACGAUAAAGGAUUCAGUAAGGUCCACCAUAGACAAGAAAGGAUUCAGUGAGCUCCACCAUAGACGAUAAAGGAUUCAGUAAGGUCCACCAUAGACGAGAAAGGAUUCAGUAAGGUCCACCAUAGACGAUAAAGGAUUCAGUAAGGUCCACCAUAGACGAGAAAGGAUUCAGUGAGGUCCACCAUAGACGAUAAAGGAUUCAGUAAGGUCCACCGUAGACGAGAAAGGAUUCAGUAAGGUCCACCAUAGACGAUAAAGGAUUCAGUAAGGUCCACCGUAGACGAGAAAGGAUUCAGUGAGGUCCACCAUAGACGAUAAAGGAUUCAGUAAGGUCCACCAUAGACGAUAAAGGAUUCAGUGAGGUCCACCGUAGACGAUAAAGGAUUCAGUGCGGUCCACCGUAGACGAGAAAGGAUUCAGUGCGGUCCACCAUAGACGAUAAAGGAUUCAGUAAGAUCCACCGUAGACGAGAAAGGAUUCAGUGCGGUCCACCAUAGACGAUAAAGGAUUCAGUAAGGUCCACCAUAGACAAGAAAGGAUUCAGUGAGCUCCACCAUAGACAAGAAAGGAUUCAGUGAGGUCCACCAUAGACGAUAAAGGAUUCAGUAAGGUCCACCAUAGACAAGAAAGGAUUCAGUGAGCUCCACCAUAGACAAGAAAGGAUUCAGUGAGGUCCACCAUAGACGUCGCCUCAUUGUAUCGGUCCCAUUGUGGCAUCAGUGAGCGCAUGGGCAGUGGCAUUGAGGCCAUCUCAAUUUUGAAGUAGUCCCAUUUUUCUUCUUCUACUACUUCUAUGAGUUGGUAAACAAACUGAAUGGGUGCUUACUGCCCCCUGGAGGGUGUUGUCGGGAACAGGUAUAACGCCAAGGUUGGUGAUUUACUGCCCUCUGCGCAGUGAUGGAAUGUUUACACGAGUAUAAUUAAUUGGCUGAUCCUUCCGAUGACAUGGAUGGAAUUAUGUGAUCCUUCCCUCUUAAAAUGUUAAAUUAAAGAUUCACCCAUUUUUAAUGUUA